rnacentral:lncRNA from 1 species
UCCAGUGAUGGCAUGAUAUCUUUGAGACCUGAUUAUUUACAUUUUGAUGACAGCUAUAAGCAUUUUAAGCUGAGGAUCAUUUCAAUUUUUAAUUUUUAAAUUUCUAUUUUUAUUUAUAUGUUUUUUUUUUUUAAUUUUAGUUUGAUUUUUGAAGUGAUGAAGUUUGCACUGGGCUCUGAGAGUAAUUGAUUAAUUGCUUGAUUUGAUGCAUAUUGCAGCCUAGAAAGCUAGUCUGAUCACAUUUAUCUUGAUUAAUAAUAAGUAUUAUUUAAUUUAUUUGUUUAUUUAUUAAUUUAUUUUAAUAAUAAUUGUGGUAUUGCUAUGAUGAUUGAACUUGCAUCCCAGCUCACUAUGAGACCUUGAUAUGUUUGAGGUUCUUGAUUACAAAUGGUUCAUUUUAAUCUGAGCUUUUAAAAUUUUUUAUUUUUUGUUUUUCUUUGUUUUUGUUGGUGCAAUGAUGAUGAAACUAUCUAAUCCCAGCUCUAUGAGACCUUGAUUUGUUUAAGGUUUAGGAAUUACAAUGUUUAGUUAUUAUCUGAGCUUUUUGUUUAUUUUUUUAGUUAGAAAUUAGUGAUUAUGUUCCCAAUGAUUUUAAAUUUGACCAUGCUAAUUCUGAUAUUGUUGAAUCAGUUCACAGUUAUUAAUGAGGGAACU